rnacentral:rRNA from 1 species
UGGGGAAUAUUGCACAAUGGGCGCAAGCCUGAUGCAGCCAUGCCGCGUGUGUGAAGAAGGCCUUCGGGUUGUAAAGCACUUUCAGCGAGGAGGAAGGUGGUGAACUUAAUACGUUCAUCAAUUGACGUUACUCGCAGAAGAAGCACCGGCUAACUCCGUGCCAGCAGCCGCGGUAAUACGGAGGGUGCAAGCGUUAAUCGGAAUUACUGGGCGUAAAGCGCACGCAGGCGGUUUGUUAAGUCAGAUGUGAAAUCCCCGGGCUCAACCUGGGAACUGCAUUUGAAACUGGCAAGCUAGAGUCUCGUAGAGGGGGGUGAGAAUUCCAGGUGUAGCGGUGAAAUGCGUAGAGAUCUGGAGGAAUACCGGUGGCGAAGGCGGCCCCCUGGACGAAGACUGACGCUCAGGUGCGAAAGCGUGGGGCAGCAAACAGGAUUAGAUACCCUGGUAGUCCAGCGCUGUAAACGAUGUCGAUUUGGAGGUUGUGCCCUUGAGGCGUGGCUUCCGGAGCUAACGCGUUAAAUCGACCGCCUGGGGAGUACGGCCGCAAGGUUAAAACUCAAAGGAAUUGACGGGGUCUAGCUG